rnacentral:rRNA from 1 species
GAUGAACGCUGGCGGUAUGCUUAACACAUGCAAGUCGGACGGGAGGUGGGGUUUCCCGUGGCGUUCGGGGGAGCAACGCGUGAGAACCUGCCCUUUGGAUGGGAACCACAGCUGGAAACGGCUGCUACGAACCCGAAGGCAGAGGAGCAAAAGGGGGGAUCUGCCGGAGGAGGGGCGGGCGUCUGAUUCGCUAGUUGGUGGGGCAAUAGCUUACCAGAGUGAUGAAUAGUAGCUGGUCAGAGUGGAUCAUCAGCCACACUGCGACUGAGGCACGCCGCAGACUACUUCGGGAAGCAGCAGUAAGGAAGUUUCAGCAAUGGGCGGUAGCCUGACGAAGCAAUGCCGCGGUGAAGUAGUAGGCCUAGGGGAGAAGAGCUGCUGUUCCAGAAGAAGAAGCAAUGACGGCACCUGAAGAAUAAGCACCGGCUAACUUUGUG